rnacentral:rRNA from 1 species
UACGAAGGGGGCGAGCGUUGUUCGGAAUUACUGGGCGUAAAGGGCGCGUAGGCGGCGACUCAAGUUAGAUGUGAAAGUCCUGGGCUUAACCUGGGGACUGCAUUUGAUACUGGGUUGCUUGAAUUCGGGAGAGGAUAGCGGAAUUCCCAGUGUAGAGGUGAAAUUCGUAGAUAUUGGGAAGAACACCGGUGGCGAAGGCGGCAUCCUGGACCGGCAUUGACGCUGAGGCGCGAAAGCUAGGGGAGCAAACGGG